rnacentral:rRNA from 1 species
GACGUAGGUGGCAAGCGUUGUUCGGAAUCACUGGGCAUAAAGCGCACGUAGGCGGCCAAGUAAGUCAGGUGUGAAAUACCUCGACUCAACCGAGGAACUGCGCCUGAUACUGCUUGGCUUGAGGUCCGGAGGGGAGAGUGGAAUUCCCGGUGGAGCGGUGAAAUGCGUAGAGAUCGGGAAGAAGACCGGUGGCGAGGCGGCCUGCUGGGCAGUUACUGACACUGAGGCGCGCAGCGGUGGGGGAGCAAACAGG